UACGAAGGGGCUAGCGUUGCUCGGAAUCACUGGGCGUAAAGCGCACGUAGGCGGAUUGCUAAGUCAGGGGUGAAAUCCUGGAGCUCAACUCCAGAACUGCCUUUGAUACUGGCGACCUUGAGUCCGGGAGAGGUGAGUGGAACUGCGAGUGUAGAGGUGAAAUUCGUAGAUAUUCGCAAGAACACCAGUGGCGAAGGCGGCUCACUGGCCCGGUACUGACGCUGAGGUGCGAAAGCGUGGGAGCAACAGG
rnacentral:rRNA from 1 species